ACCAUUGUAGGUUGUCCGUGACUA
rnacentral:piRNA from 1 species